GGAGACCACCUCCUCUGCACCCAGCCCCUGCAGUAAUGAGGCGAUGGGGUGAUGACGUGCUGCCUGCGUAGCAAGCGGAAGAACCCCCACCUGCUGAAGUCAUCUCUGCUGAGUCAUUUCCGGGGAAGUGACUUUGGGAAUCCGGCUGCUCGCGUGAGAGUCUUGCCUUCCAGUUUCUGUCUUCGGGCGCCACCUAGUGACAUCAUUCGGAAAACUUUCUGCUCCUCCUACCUCCUGGUUUUCCUCAUUUGCCUCAUACCCCGUAGCUCCCAGUGCAAGACACCCCUCUUUCCAGUCUCCUCUAUGAUUUCCUCACUGUGACCUUUUCCCUGAGCAUCCUCGUGAAGAAGCAUCAUCUUGUUAACUUCAUGGACUUCUCGGAGUUCUCUAAGGACUGGCCUUUGGAUAUCUCCAGGUGCUCUGGACCCCAGGCACCACUGUGAUGCCCACCUGACAGUUGAGAGGGGCCAGAAGACAUCCAGUAACUUGCUGAAGAUCCGAGUUCUGAAGCGGGAGAGGCAAGUUUGGCUCUACACUAGCACCCUGAACCACAUAUGAAAUACUUGUAUGGAUUUUAAGAUGGAUGCUUGUUAAGGUGGAUGCUUGUCCAACCCAGCAUCCAGGUGUACAUGGAAAGUAUUUCCUUGUUUCUAAUUCCCGUCAUAGUGAUUCUGUGUUGAAAGCUGAACAAAACCUGACAGUAUAAAUCAAUAAUUGUCUAUCAAAGGUGCUUUGAUCAGUUUCUGGAGACAGUCUUGAUUGACAAGAAUAUGAGGCUCAAGAGGACACUAGCACCGAGUACUGGAGAGAUAAAGAUUCUGCAAAAAUGAUUCACAGCUAGCAAAAAAAACCUUGAGAAAUGGAGUUGCAAUGGUUUUCAAGCUAUCACUCCCUGAAACAAGGCGAAGAGCUCUCCCCCCUCCCCCCCCACCCC